AAAAGUGUUGCAAUAAAGAGUAGCAUGGUAUCAGUAUGGCCAUAACUAGAAAAAGAAAUGGGGGUCUCAAUCAUGAUGAUGUCACAGUAGGAGAAUUACUGGGCAAGGGAACUUUUGCUGACAUAUUUAAGGGCACAUUAAAGGAUAAAACUGCUGUUGCCAUUAAAACAUGUAAAGAUGAUCUUUCCCAGGAACUGAAAUUAAAAUUUUUACAAGAAGCCAAAAUCCUCAAGCAAUAUAAUCAUCCCGAUAUUGUCAAACUUAUAGGAGUUCGCACACAAAUACAGCCUAUCUAUAUCAUUAAGGAACUGGUUCCAGGAGGCGAUUUCCUCUCCUUUCUGAGAAAGAAGGAUGAACUAAAACAGUUAGUGAAAUUUUCAUUAGAUGCUGCUUCUGGAUGGCGAAUCUCGAGUAAAAAUUGUAUACACAGGGACCUUGCUGCAAGAAACUGCCUGGAGGUGAAAAUAAUGUUCUGAAAAUCAGUGACUUUGGAAUGUCUCGUCAAGAGGAUGGUGGUGUGUAUUCAUCUUCUGACUUAAAGCAGAUUCCCAUUAAAUGGACAGCACCAGAAGCUCUUAAUUAUGGGAGAUAUCGUUCUGAGAGUGACGUAUGGAGCUUUGGCAUCCUCCUCUGGGAGACCUUCAGCUUAGGGGUCUGUCCAUACCCUGGAAUGACAAAUCAGCAAGCACAAGAGCAAGUGGAAAGAAGAUACUGGAUGUCAGUCUCUCAGCAGUGUCCAGAGCGUAUUUAUCAAUACAGUGUUGAAGUGUUGGGAUUACAAACUUGAAAACGGCCCCAAGUUCAGUGAACUUCAGAAAGAACUGCCAUCAAGAAGAAAAGUCAUAUGGUGAUGAAACAGUGCCAAACUCAGCCUUCAGGACUCUUAUCUUCCAGCAGAGUAAUAUUUUCUUCUCAUUAACAAUGCAUUUAUACCACAUUACCUGGAACAUUCUCCUAAGGUUAUUGGUUUUUUUAUUUUUUAAAAAAUAUGUGCCACUUUAAUGUUUGUAAAUAACAAAGCACAGGCGCUAAAUGCAAGAGAUAACACAGAUCUAUCUUUUUCACACCUAGGACUGCUGAUGUUUUUCACAGGGUUUCUACUUCAGGCUGGGUCCAGAGCUGGCUGUCCUCCAUCCUAGACAUCUCUAUUCUAUCGGUGCUAUUGACUGCACUGGUAAUACUGUGUUUGCAGAAAGACAAGAUUACCUUUGUAAACAUCACUUUCUACUGGGUAUUAUCUGGACAGGACAUCCUGAGGUAUUUUCUUCCCUCCCCCCAAC